GUCCCGCUUGAUGAGGUGUGUUGCAGUACCCCGGUCAGACCGAGGACGGCGCCGUCCACCCAGCGUCCACAGAGGGGACAUUCAAACUGCUGAGACUGGCUGCUGAGACUGGAGACACGGAGCUUUGUGCCGAAACUAAAAACACACACACAACCUCAUGAAUUAAAACCGCUCAUUGGUGAGAGGCCAGUAGAGGACUGUGUGGAUUAAAACGACGACAAGCAUGGAGUUCCCGCAGCAGCAGAAACCGGCGGGGGACAGCAAGAUCACCUACCCGCCUGGAGUGAAGGAAAUCACGGAGAAGAUAAGCAACGAUGAGGUGGUGAAACGGCUGAAGAUGGUGGUGAAGACCUACAUGGAC